rnacentral:rRNA from 1 species
UACGUAGGGGGCGAGCGUUGUCCGGAAUGAUUGGGCGUAAAGGGCGCGCAGGCGGCCUGUCAAGUCAGUAGUGGAAGUCCAUUUUUCAAGGAUGGAAGUGCUAUAGAAACUGAUGGGCUUGAGUGCAGGAGAGGUUAUCGGAAUUCCCGGUGUAGCGGUGAAAUGCGUAGAGAUCGGGAGGAACACCAGUGGCGAAGGCGGGUAACUGGACUGCAACUGACGCUGAGGCGCGAAAGUGUGGGGAGCAAACAGGAUUAGAUACCCUGGUAGUCCACACUGUAAACGAUGAAUGCUAGGUGUAGGGGGUAUCGACCCCUUCUGUGCCGAAGUAAACACAAUAAGCAUUCCGCCUGGGGAGUACGGUCGCAAGAUUAAAACUCAAAGGAAUUGACGGGGGCCCGCACAAGCAGCGGAGCAUGUGGUUUAAUUCGAAGCAACGCGAAGAACCUUACCAGGUCUUGACAUCCAUCUAAAGCUGCGGAGACGCAGUGUGAGCAAGCUCGAGAUGAGACAGGUGGUGCAUGGUU